rnacentral:ncRNA from 2 species
GAGAGCCGGAUGACCGGGAAACCGUCAUGUCCGGUUCGGCGGGAGGCCGCGCGGAACAGGACUCGCCCUCAC